AGUGAACGCUGGCGGUAGGCCUAACACAUGCAAGUCGAACGGCAGCACAGUAAGAGCUUGCUCUUACGGGUGGCGAGUGGCGGACGGGUGAGGAAUACAUCGGAAUCUACUUUUUCGUGGGGGAUAACGUAGGGAAACUUACGCUAAUACCGCAUACGACCUACGGGUGAAAGCAGGGGAUCUUCGGACCUUGCGCGAUUGAAUGAACCGAUGUCGGAUUAGCUAGUUGGCGGGGUAAAGGCCCACCAAGGCGACGAUCCGUAGCUGGUCUGAGAGGAUGAUCAGCCACACUGGAACUGAGACACGGUCCAGACUCCUACGGGAGGCAGCAGUGGGGAAUAUUGGACAAUGGGCGCAAGCCUGAUCCAGCCAUACCGCGUGGGUGAAGAAGGCCUUCGGGUUGUAAAGCCCUUUUGUUGGGAAAGAAAAGCAGCAGGUUAAUACCCCGCUGUUCUGACGGUACCCAAAGAAUAAGCACCGGCUAACUUCG
rnacentral:rRNA from 1 species